CUGGCGGCAUGCCUUACACAUGCAGGUCGAACGGCAGCACGGGAGCAAUCCUGGUGGCGAGUGGCGAACGGGUGAGUAAUAUAUCGGAACGUGCCCAGUCGUGGGGGAUAACGUAGCGAAAGCUACGCUAAUACCGCAUACGAUCUAUGGAUGAAAGCGGGGGAUCGCAAGACCUCGCGCGAUUGGAGCGGCCGAUAUCAGAUUAGGUAGUUGGUGAGGUAAAGGCUCACCAAGCCGACGAUCUGUAGCUGGUCUGAGAGGACGACCAGCCACACUGGGACUGAGACACGGCCCAGACUCCUACGGGAGGCAGCAGUGGGGAAUUUUGGACAAUGGGCGCAAGCCUGAUCCAGCAAUGCCGCGUGCAGGAUGAAGGCCUUCGGGUUGUAAACUGCUUUUGUACGGAACGAAACGGUGAGCUCUAAUACAGUUUGCUAAUGACGGUACCGUAAGAAUAAGCACCGGCUAACUACGUG
rnacentral:rRNA from 1 species